rnacentral:lncRNA from 1 species
GUUCCAAAAAUAUCAGAGAAAAUCUAAACCUUCAAUUCUGAUUGGUGGCUAUAAAUUGAUGUGGCAGAUACUUCCAUAAAAAACUAUCUUAUCCAACCCCUACUUUCAUAUCCAAAAUGACAUUAUUAUUUUGUCUCAAAUCACUGUUACAGCCCUCAAUUCCACUGUAUAUAUAACUGACCAAAACUUUGCCAAUAUCAGUAGUUCAAACACUUCUUUUAAUAUCUUUAGCUGACUUUAGACCAACCCCUUUUAUUUUCUUGAACAUUUUCAUGGCUCUUCAGGCUGCUGCUUUGGUUCCUUCUGCUUUCUCCAUUUCCAAAGAGGUAAUAUUUUCCGUCAAGAAAAUAUGUUGCUCGGAUUCUUCAAAAAUAUUGUGGUGUCGGAUCCUCCAAAAGUAGUGCAUAUUUGGAACUUUUGGAGGAUUUGACGCGCCACAGUAUUUUUGGAGAGUUCGAGCAACAUAAUACAUUGCUUUGCUUGUAUUUUAGUCUGCAAUUGGAAUCUGAAGCUACAUUACUAAUUCUUUCUUUUACUCAUUUUGUAAUUUUGCAGGGCAAAGCUAGUGCAAACUUGAAGAAUUC